UUCAGCUUCUCUUUCUGCCCAGUGAUGCUUCAUUCUCCCCUCAUAGACAUUGCUCCUGAGAGCACCUCUAAUAAAUUCCCCUGAUACAGCUCCCACACACAGAUCUCAGAACCUCAGAGUCUAUUUCCUGGAGAAACCAACUUGAGAAGGAAGAUUGCUGUAUUUGCCCAAAAUAAGGAACAAGUCUGUAGUGGAGCUGGGACUUGAGCACAUCUGUAGCCAGUUCAAAGACUGUGGUCUUUUCUCUUUGCUGCUCUUCUUCCAUCCGAAGCUCACCCAUCUUUUCCAUCUCAGACAGCUGUGGAAAUUAAAGUUUUGGAUUCUUGAUCUAUGGGCAAAAUCAAGGAAUGAUAUUCCUCAUCAGAUGUUGCUUGCAGUCUAGCAGAAACAACAGCAGAUGCCCAGAGUGAAGGGCAAAGAACGCAAAGGAGGGAGAGAAGGGUUUUGUCCAUUUCUGCCACGAAAUGAUCCUAAGGACAAGCCUUGAAACCUGCUAAAGUUCAGGUGCUUCUGUUAAACGAGUGCUACAUUGGAUAAUCUCAAAGGUUCAGUCCAGGAAGUUGGAAGAUGACUUGCAGAGGGAAAUACUAGAAGUCAAGAGGACAUUUAUGACACUCUUACAAUGAUCCAUGUGAGACAGGAUGUCAGAGCAGUGGCUGGAGAAGAAAGAUGAGGGAAUAGAUGGGGACCUGUUUAAGGAAUAGAACUGGCAGGAUUUGAGGAGCAACUGUGCGUGGCCAGUGAUUAACAAAAACUAGGGUAGUUAAAAUAUCUGUGUCCUAAAAAGUCACUUAGUUGGUAAUUAUCAUUCAAAUUAUACUAGCUUGAGUACCAUUUUAAUAUUUAGACUCCAAAUUCAAGUAAUAGUUCCAUGCUUUCUGCUUCAAAUGCUACAAUACACCUUGGCCAAAUUUAAACACAAAUUAGUAGAUGGUGCUUCCAUUAAUUCUUUAGUCCUCAACUUAAUCGCACAUAAAAUUUUCCAAUGGUUUCAAAAUCCAAGUCAGUAAGGUCUAAGCCUUUUAGAGAGUUAAUUUUACUGCUGUUUCCUCUUGUUCAUGAGGCUAAUUUUAAACAUAGCCUUUGGAUAUGCUGUAAGUUGGUAAUAAUGCCACAAAAAUACAUAGACCAAUGCUUGAGAAUAAGAGUCAACAAAUAUCAAUAUGCUUGUUUCUGAUUUGAGUGAAUACCAGUCAAUGUUUUUGACAAACUAAAUAGGAGAUCGAGGUUGCAAAAUUCAAAGGCCUAUGUAGUCCAGACCAAUAACAAAUAAAGUGGAGAAGUUUAAGUAAGUUCACAUUGUGCAUACAUGUGGUGAGGAUUACAGGAAAAUAUAGGACCUAUGCCCUGUCUAAAAAAAAAGUUCCUACCAUUCUCUAGCCUUUCAUUACUAUGCAGAAAGGCUGGUCCAAGGCUACUAGAUAUUCCAGAGGUUUUUUAAAGAAUAGGUGACUAUCUGGCUAAUUAAAAAAAAAAAUCUGGUCCAAACAAACCAUGUUUGUGGACAUAGCCCAUGAACCACCAGUUUGUAGACCCUUGCUAUUCAAAGGUUCUAUAAAAAUAAAUUCAGCAGAAAAUGCUUUUCAAGUAAGAAAAAAUGCUUCAUUCCAACUCCAGGAGGGUUAAAAAUGCUUCAGGCAAACAAGCUAAAUGACAAUAAAAUAUAUUUACUGCUAUAGUCGCUGGCUUACCAGGGACUAUAUAAUCUAGGGACCAGCAGCAUCAGCAUCACCUGGGAACUUGCUAGAAAUGCAGAAUCUGAAGCCUCAUCCUAGACUUGCUUAAUCAGAACCUACACUUUUAACAAGGUCCCUGGUGACUGAUAUCCGUGCUAAAGUUUGAGCAAUGCCGGCUUGAACGCGCUCGUGCACAGAGCCUAGAUGGCAUACUUUCUUCCUCUAUACCCCAGAGCAGACAUGCAGAAUAAUUUUCUGUUAUGAAAGCAGAGCAUGGGUCGUUUUUUGGAGAAGAGGGAGGUAGUAUCCUGCUCCAACAGGGCCCUGUUUGAGUUGACUCAAGGGAGCCACAAAAUGUCUUCUGAAGUCCACAGGUCCAUGGGUAGCAUAAUAAACGUGUCUUAUGCAGGGACGGAACUAGGUUGAGGCCAGUAAGAUACUUGCCCAAGGUGCAAAUUUUACAGAGGUACCAAAAUACCUAGUAAUCAAGAUCAAUAAUACUUUAAUGCAAUAAUUUUUUAAAUUAAAAUUAAUGCAAAGAAACUCAAUAUACAAAAUAUCAUAAUUUUCCAACUCGCCUCAUCCUAGUUCCAGCUCACAUUCUGUUCAUGCCAAUUUAAAUAUUUCUGUAAUCCAUUGUCUCCUGCUAUUCAUACUUGUCCCUCAAAAGCCACUGAACAAGAAGUAUGAUUUCAAACCUAUAAAAAUAAACUUAACAAAAAAUGCUUUUCAAGUUGGAAAAAAUGCUUUGUGCCAACUCUAGGAGGGUUCAAGAUGCUUCAGCCAAACAAGCUAAAAGACAAUAAAAUGUAUUUACCACUAUAGUCUCUGAUUUUGCAGGGAACCAACCCGUCUCCAUCUUUUGUCCCUAUUGUCUGCUUAAGGGACAGAUAGUAGGGACAUUAUCUAAAUGCCAAACCAAGAGUCGGAGUUACCAUUAAGGAAUGCAACACGCCUUUACUGUGAUUGAUAUUCCAGUGACUUUGGGGGAGGAGAGAGGUUUGAAAUGGGGCUUUGGCAAGCCAGCUGAGAUGAAAAUAGCUGGGAAGCUGCCUCUGUGUGUCUCUUUCACACAUAGACUUCCGUUUCAGGGCCAGAACCUGGAAGUGCCCUGGGGUACAGGAAAGAAGAAACUCAGUUGAGAAUGAAUGAAUCACCAUUAGGCGUGUUUCAGUUCCUGUCUGGGGAGUACCAGCUGCAGAUACCAAGAAAAUACUAACUUUUCUUGCCAACUCUGUGCAGGCUGGAACAGAGAAGGAAGAGCUGACAAAGUGUGCACUUAACCACAGCUCUGGGGAGGCAAUGCCUUGAUAUCCCCACGGUAUUUAUGUCUGCAUCAUUUAUGCAGAACACUUCUAGGUUCUUCUGUUGUUAAUUGGCUUCAUGAGGGAGCAAAUGAAGUCAUCAGAUGAAACAGAUGAGCUUUGGAGCAAAAUAGAUGCAGUAUCAGAGUCUAUCUCAACCAUUCACCUGAGUGUCUGCACUAUCCCAGGCAUCAAUUUCUUCAUCCUUGUGGGACUGGUAUGAGAUCAUGCCUAUGAAAUGCUUUAAUCUGUGACCUAGCAGGGAACUUGAAACCCAAGAGGCAAAAAACCAUCCUUCUCAACCAACCUAUAAGAUUUCCGACUGACAGGAGCCCUCUAUUUUAUUCCCAGUACUUACCAGUAACUGACAUUUGCAUAGUGCGUUUAAAGUUUCAAAGCACUUUCCCUUAAAAUCAUUAUACUGUGUCAUUCCAACAUUCCAAUAAGUUAGGCAGGGCAAUAAUUAUUAUUACUGUUUUUAAAUAUGAAAACAUAGCAACUAUUAGAAACAGGUCUCUGGCUGAGUCCAACUAAUGCUUCAAAUCUUUUGACCUCUAUGUUUUGCAAAUAUUUAAACAACAAAUAUUUGUUGAAUAUAAGACUUCAGGGACCCAAAUGAAAAGUUCAAAAUACUGAUGACCUCAUUCUAGACCCCAAAACUUCAUUUUGUUGCAUUUUUUCUUCUGAUGACAGGUUAUUAAGGUGCUCAAGGUGACAGGACAUGUCUUUAUAGAUCUUGAAAUCUCACCGAGCAUCAAGAAGUGUGCUAACAUAGAAGGAACCAGGGUUUGUCUUCUGGCUGAUUGUGUAAAAAUGAUAAUUGAUCUAUGGCUAUUAGAUGUUUGCAUGCAUUAGACGUUUGCUCAUGUUUUCAUGAAUAAAAUGAAAUGGAGAA
rnacentral:lncRNA from 1 species